rnacentral:rRNA from 1 species
AACCAGCACCUCAAGUGGUCAGGAUGAUUAUUGGGCCUAAAGCAUCCGUAGCCGGCUCUGUAAGUUUUCGGUUAAAUCUAUGCGCUCAACGUAUGGGCUGCCGAAAAUACUGUAGAGAUAGGGAGUGGGAGAGGUAGACGGUACUCGGUAGGAAGGGGUAAAAUCCUUUGAUCUAUCGAUGACCACCGGUGGCGAAGGCGGCCAACUGGCGGUACAUUGACGCUGAGGCGCGAAAGCGUGGGGAGCAAACAGG